UAAUGGCCUACCAAGGCGACGACGGGUAGCCGGCGUGCAGAGGGCGACCGGCCCACACUGGGAGUGAGACACGGCCCAGACUCCUACGGGAGGCAGCAGUGGGGAAUAUUGGACAAUGGGGGAAACCCUGAUCCAGCGACGCCGCGUGUGUGAAGAAGGCCUGCGGGUUGUAAAGCACUUUUAGUGGGGACAAAAAGAUACGGAUUAAUACUCUGUGGUCCUGAUUUAACCCAAAGAAAAAGCACCGGCUAACUCUGUGCCAGCAGCCGCGGUAAUACAGAGGGUGCGAGCGUUAAUCGGAAUUACUAGGCGUAAAGCGCGGGUAGACGGUUUUGUAAGUCAGAUGUGAAAUCCUUGGGCUCAACCUGGGAACUGCAUUUGAGACUGCAUGGCUAGAGUAUCGAAGAGGGAAGUGGAAUUUCCGGUGUAGCGGUGAAAUG
rnacentral:rRNA from 1 species